UACGUAGGGGGCAAGCGUUGCCCGGAAUCAUUGGGCGUAAAGCGCGUGUAGGCGGCCCGGUAAGUCCGCUGUGAAAGUCGGGGGCUCAACCCUCGAAUGCCGGUGGAUACUGUCGGGCUAGAGUGCGGAAGAGGCGAGUGGAAUUCCUGGUGUAGCGGUGAAAUGCGCAGAUAUCAGGAGGAACACCAAUUGCGAAGGCAGCUCGCUGGGACGUGACUGACGCUGAGACGCGAAAGCGUGGGGAGCAAACAGG
rnacentral:rRNA from 1 species